rnacentral:lncRNA from 1 species
ACUCGGGGUCCGGCGUCCGGCGGGGCGGGGGGCGGGGGCCGCGGAGCCGGCUUGGCCGCCGCGCUCGGCCGCGAGUGACAGGCCCGGGGCGGAGGGCGGGGCCGCCGGCGGGGAUGAGGUCAUGCCGAGCGAAAAAAGCCCCUGACGUCACCUGCAGCCAAUCAGCGCACGCGGCUCGGGGGCAGGUGACGUCAGCCAGCGCCCCGGCUCCGGGUGCAGAUUAGAGGCGGCGGCCGUGGGGGGCGGGGGCCGGGCUCCGCGCCGUCGCCUGGCGCCCUCUGCCCUCCCCUCUCUCCGCGGCCCCGGCUCUUAAAGGGGCCGCGCGGCCUCGGAUCCCUCGCCUGGAACCCCACCUCCAGGAAGCCCUCCGGGCCCCAGCGGUCCGCCCCACCCGGAGACCCCCCAGUCUCAUCUUACACCCGCGGAGGGUCCAGUCGUCCGGGUCCCGAGGGCAAGCGUCCUCUCUCCGCCGGCCUGUCAGGAGCUACCCCCAACCCCACCCCACCCCACCCCACCCCUGGCAGUCUUUGUUCGUGCGGGGUUUGCCGCGGGCAGCGGCUUCUCUAGCCCGGGGCGGGCACGAGCGCACCCCGCGAACCCGGCCCAGGCGGCGCUUUACCUUAGAAAUCCACCCUAAGCGGCGCUCUCGGGACCUGCCCUCGCAGGGUGCCCCCAGCCCGGUAAAGGCAGUUGAGGGUUCGCCCCAGCCGACCGCUGUUGGAACACAAGCCCUCGGCCGCUUGGACGCUGGUUGUCCAGAGCGGGAGCAAACAUAGGAGACUGCUUUCUAUACUCUCCUGGGACAGGUGGGCACUCGGGAUCCCAGAGCUGUGAGUGCAGCUGGGGACGGUCGUGAUGGCCAGGCCUCCGCUGGACCCUCUCUUCCCUACUCUCAAUUCUCCUGACCUCUGGCCUCAGAGCUUUGUCCACAGUAGGUGCUUAGUGGACCCAAAGGAGGAAGGUGUUGCUGAGGAGAGAAGUCCUGGCUGGAGGUGGACCCUGAACUCAGCGAGAUGCCCAGCCCAGUUGCGUGGCCAGUUUGCCUCUUCCUCGUUCAUCCGGGUUUCAGCCUGUCCUUCCUCAGCGUCCCCGGGGGCUGGUCACCUGCCUCUGGUUGGACUGUGUGUGACCUGCGAGGACAGCACUGGGCCCAGGCUCCUUCAUCUCCGUUGGGAGCUUGCAGGUGUGAUU